rnacentral:rRNA from 1 species
UCAAUAAGCGGAGGAAAAGAAACCAACCGGGAUUACCUCAGUAACGGCGAGUGAAGCGGUAACAGCUCAAGUUUGAAAUCUGGCUCCUCUGGAGUCCGAGUUGUAAUUUGUAGAAGAUGCUUUGGGUUGUGGGUUCGGCCUAAGUUCCUUGGAACAGGACGUCAUAGAGGGUGAGAAUCCCGUAUGUGGCCGAGGCCCGCGCCUAUGUAAAGCUCUUUCAACGAGUCGAGUUGUUUGGGAAUGCAGCUCAAAAUGGGUGGUAAAUUUCAUCUAAAGCUAAAUAUGGGCCAGAGACCGAUAGCGCACAAGUAGAGUGAUCGAAAGAUGAAAAGCACUUUGGAAAGAGAGUUAAACAGUACGUGAAAUUGUUGAAAGGGAAGCGCUUGCACCCAGACUUGGGCGCUGCCGAUCACCUUGCGGUCUCCGCGAGUGCACUCGACAGCGCACAGGCCAGCAUCGGUUCGGGUGGCUGGAUAAAGGCCGUAGGAACGUAGCUCUCUUCGGGGAGUGUUAUAGCCUACGGUGCCAUGCAGCCCAGCCGGACCGAGGACCGCGCCUUCGGGCUAGGAUGCUGGCGUAAUGGGUGUAAGCGACCCG